rnacentral:rRNA from 1 species
GACGGGGGGGGCAAGUGUUCUUCGGAAUGACUGGGCGUAAAGGGCACGUAGGCGGUGAAUCGGGUUGAAAGUGGAAGUCGCCAAAAAAGUGGCGGAAUGCUCUCGAAACCAAUUCACUUGAGUGAGACAGAGGAGAGUGGAAUUUCGUGUGUAGGGGUGAAAUCCGUAAAUAUACGAAGGAACGCCAAAAGCGAAGGCAGCUCUCUGGGUCCCUACCGACGCUGGGGUGCGAAAGCAUGGGGGAGCGAACAGG